GAUGAAGAACGCAGCGAAAUGCGAUAAGUAAUGUGAAUUGCAGAAUUCAGUGAAUCAUCGAAUCUUUGAACGCACAUUGCGCCCCCUGGUAUUCCGGGGGGCAUGCCUGUCCGAGCGUCAUUGCAGCCCUCAAGCACGGCUUGUGUGUUGGGCCUCCGUCCUCCUCCCGGGGGACGGGCCCGAAAGGCAGCGGCGGCACCGCGUCCGGUCCUCGAGCGUAUGGGGCUUCGUCACCCGCUCUUGUAGGCCCGGCCGGCGCUUGCCGACACAUCAAUCUUUUUUCCAGGUUGACCUCGGAUCAGGUAGGGAUACCCGCUGAACUUAAGCAUAUCAAUAAGCGGAGGA
rnacentral:misc_RNA from 1 species